UUUUUAUUAAUAUAGCUUUAUAUCUAUUUAUUUUAUUUCUCAAGAAGAGAUUGUAGUCAUGUGUAAUUAUGUAAAUAUUUAUGUGUUAUAUAGUCAUAUAUAUGUUGGGGUCAGCACACGGAGCUCGCAUAUACUGAAACCAGUUCCGCAGUGAUCUGCGCAGUGCGAACAAGAUUGUUAGUAAUCAUUUUGUACUAUUUGAGUGUAUCGUUUGACAAAGAUGAUUUUUCUACGAACAUGGUUGAUAGGGCUGAUACUAGCCUGUCUUCUUAUUCUCACUCAAGCCAAUUCUAAGGGCGUGUUGACGAGCACAAAGUGCCCUAAUGGACAAAAGCCUACGGUAUUGGGCGGUGUAACAGUCUGCCUACUGAAAGAUGAUAAGAAAAAUUGAAACAAUCUAUUUAAAGAUUUCAUGUAAUUCAUUAUAUCUGUUUAAUACAUAUAACUGUAUGAAUACUCUAUAUUCGUUGGCCUUAAAACUACCUUUUUAAUUAAUGAGGAUACGAUGUUUUCGGUAAAUAACGACAUUUCAAAGCAAGUAUAGAUGCUCUUAAUCUAUUUGGAGCUAUCUCUCUUCUUGAGUCGAAGUUAAUAAUAUGCGGUACCGGUGAUUAUGAGUUAGGUGCCAUGGGUCUUGAGUAGCAUGAAACAAACGAAAAUGUAAUAUCACCAUAAUUUAACGUAAAAUAUGAUAAGCAUUUUGUUUUCACUCAUUGUAUGCCAGAGGACAACUUAUUUUCUUUUAAUGUUUUCAUAAAAUGAUAACCUUUGAGAAUGCAAAAUAAAAACACAAGCAAAUACUA